AAUUAAAAGAAAAAAGGGGCAAUUGUCUAAAUACCCCUGAAAAGUUCCCGGUUUUCUUAUUUACCCUUCUUAGAAGGCUAAUAUUGAAAAUACCCUUUUUAUUUUCUACGUCUUUCUAAUAUACCUCUAGAGUUAAGUUCCGUUAGUGAGCUGCCGUUAUCUCUGAAAAAUUACCAUUUUGCCCAUUCCAAUAUACCCUUAUUAUAUUCUAAGUCUUUCUAAUAUAUCCUUGGUGGU
rnacentral:lncRNA from 1 species